rnacentral:tRNA from 1 species
GCACGGGUAGCGAAGUGGUUACCGCGCCCGCCUUGAGAGCGGGUACCCUACCGGGUUCGGGGGUUCAAAAACUUCAACGAAUCACGUUGAAUUUGAAUGUCCCUCCCCGUGCGCCA